AAAAAAUUUGGGUUAAUUAAUAAUUGAUAUUUGUAUUUAUAAAAACAAAUUACGACAAGGGUAAAUCAAAUGAAGAAAGUUGCUUGAAACGGCUAUCAAUCUAUCUUAGCGUCUUAGUGACAGUGGUGAAUCGAACGUGGCUAGAAACUGCUGAGAAAUCUUCUUGGUUUUAUGAAGGCAUGCGUGAGAACGAAGAAGAAAGAGUCAAGUAGUGGGACUGCCAUCCUCCUAUGACAUGCAAUGCUGGGCAGUAUUUAUCUCUAUUGUUUCGCGAACCGUGCAGAACUCUGUUUUACUAAGCUAAUUUCCUCCACCUUGUGUUUCUUCCGUCCUAGUUGAUCAGAAUUUUAGAGGGUUCAUAAUAAUCAAGAACAGUUCAUCAGAGUUAAGCUGUCAACACAAUGGGAUUCGAGGAAGAAAAUAUGUUGUUCAUCAAAAACAUUACCGACGACAAGAAAGGAUGGAGGUGUUCAUUCCAAACUGAUCCACAUGGACAGGGAUGUUAUCACUCCUUUCACUGCAAAUACGAAAGCCAUGCUCUCCUGCAUUUCGAAACAUUUUUUUGCUGGAACAUGUUUUGCUGGUGUAAAAUAUUAUGAACACGGGAAAAGAAGGAAAUAUUUAUUUUGUUUCCCCUGACGGUCAAGGGUUUAUUUAAACUUAAAUUCCAGAUAUGCACAGAGACAAGAAUGGAAGUAACCAACAGUAGCCUGCUCGUCGAGAACGUGGUGAUUUUUCAA